rnacentral:piRNA from 1 species
UUGAUAGAUUAUUUUGUCGCA